rnacentral:rRNA from 1 species
UACGAAGGGGGCGAGCGUUGUUCGGAAUUACUGGGCGUAAAGCGUGCGUAGGUGGUUCGUUAAGUCUGAUGUGAAAGCCCUGGGGCUCAACCUGGGAAUGGCAUUGGAUACUGGCGAUCUAGAGUGCGGUAGAGGGCAGUGGAAUUCCCGGUGUAGCAGUGAAAUGCGUAGAGAGUCGGGAGGAACAUCUGUGGCGAAGGCGACUGCCUGGACCAGCACUGACACUGAGGCACGAAAGCGUGGGGAGCAAACAGG